AGCUGACUUAAAUAUAAAAAUUUUGCAGGAACUGAACGUUUUAAAUUUCAAAACCGUGGGCGACGUAUCUGGGGAGCACCCGCGACCUUAUGUACUUUCCAAACUUCGAAAUACGGUCUUCAAGAAACAGCAUAACAUAAUUUCGUAGCGGCACCAAGGCCACACGUCGCUGUACCUAAAGUGAUUGCAGUGCAGUUCGCGUGGACAUCUGGACAUAGCAUCUACAUUGCCAUGCGAUUUGUCGUGCCGAUGGGAAAUCGAGAAUUGAUUACAUAUUAUUCGCUUGGGAUGCUUGCAAAAAGAAAAGAAAGGAUUUGAUAAACUUCGAACCUACCAGUUACCGAACAAUUCAAAGAAUGGUAAGUUUGACAUAUCAUUAUCAAUUUUUAUGAAAAAUAG